GACGAACGCUGGCGGCGUGCCUAAUACAUGCAAGUAGAACGCUGAAGAGAGGAGCUUGCUCUUCUUGGAUGAGUUGCGAACGGGUGAGUAACGCGUAGGUAACCUGCCUGGUAGCGGGGGAUAACUAUUGGAAACGAUAGCUAAUACCGCAUAAAAUGGAUUAUCGCAUGAUAAUCCAUUGAAAGGUGCAAAUGCAUCACUACCAGAUGGACCUGCGUUGUAUUAGCUAGUUGGUGGGGUAACGGCUCACCAAGGCGACGAUACAUAGCCGACCUGAGAGGGUGAUCGGCCACACUGGGACUGAGACACGGCCCAGACUCCUACGGGAGGCAGCAGUAGGGAAUCUUCGGCAAUGGACGGAAGUCUGACCGAGCAACGCCGCGUGAGUGAAGAAGGUUUUCGGAUCGUAAAGCUCUGUUGUAAGAGAAGAACGAGUGUGAGAGUGGAAAGUCCACACUGUGACGGUAUCUUACCAGAAAGGGACGGCUAACUACGUG
rnacentral:rRNA from 1 species